AUGGGCUACUUAGGCCUGAUGGUGCUCAAGCAAAGAUGCAGAGGCAAGCAGAAAGUUGCAGGGCUCUUAUGGCAUCGUCUCAGAAUCAAUGCUUCUGUUCUAGAGGCUGAGAAGUUCAAGGUCAAGGGACCCACAUCUGGCAGGGGCCUUCUUGCGGCAUCAUCCCAUGGUGGAAAGGAGAAGAGAAAGUGAGAGAGCAAGAGGGGCUGCCUUUAUGUUCGUAACAAGCCCACUCAAGAAAAUUAGCCACUCCCAUGAUAAGGACAUUAAUCAGUUCAUGUGGGCAGAGCCCUCAUGAACGAAUCACCUCUUAUUAGGCUCCGAGUCCCAGCCAUAUUGUAUUGAAGGUGAAAUUUUCAGCACAUGAACUGUAGGGGGCACAUUCAAACCAUAGCACAUAGAAACAGAUCAUUGCCUUGUUAAGGUCCUGGUUUAAUGAGUGAAUAAUGGCGAUUGAUUUAUGAUUUACACAUCAAAGUAGCAGGUUAGCAAGGCUGGUCACAUUGGCAUGCUGCACUUAUUGGUAAAGAACAUUUAUUAUACGAAAAGGUAGAUGUUGUUGUGUCUGAAAGAAGCUUGCCUUUUGAAUGUCUUCUAAUCUUGUUCAUUCUACUCAUUUGCUAGUUGAGUCCAUUUCCUCAGGCAUCAUACAAAGGUAAACUUUCUUUUAGUCUUUAUUUGCCUAUAAAUAGCAAAUUAAUUAAGACUGCUUUAAUAAGAUCUACAGUGCCUACCAGCACAUGUUUAGUCUCUUCCAUCCUCUUUUGCUAAGAAAAGAUCAGUUUUAAUUCUUCUUUCCGUGUCUGACUUAUUAUUCAGUAAAUUCUUCAGUGCCCUUGGACUUGAUUCUCAUUCUUCUCUGUCUCCCUGAGUGAUUCACCUACAUUCCUUUGAAGUUGGUAGAGGUCUGAUACAUGAAAGAAAUAGGCAGUGUUAGGAAAGGGACCAAAAAAACAGAGCAAGCAUUUUAGGCCAGGAGCUUCUGGUGCAGAAAAGGAGGGGAAGUGAACAUCUUCACAUGAGUUAUCUUCAAAUGAUAUUCUAUUUAGACAAGUAGAAAGAAUGCACCUAUAUGUCAGCACGGUACUGUGUUAUUUAUAUUUGAUAUAUGGAUAACAUGAAAAUAAAAUGUUUAUGAAAUUACA
rnacentral:lncRNA from 13 species